UACGUAGGGUGCGAGCGUUAAUCGGAAUUACUGGGCGUAAAGCGUGCGCAGGCGGUUUUGUAAGCCAGAUGUGAAAGCCCCGGGCUCAACCUGGGAAUGGCAUUUGGGACUGCAAGGCUUGAGUGCGGCAGAGGAGACUGGAAUUCCUGGUGUAGAAGUGAAAUGCGUAGAUAUCAGGAGGAAUACCGAUGGCGAAGGCAGGUCUCUGGGCUGUAACUGACGCUGAGGAGCGAAAGCAUGGGGAGCGAACAGG
rnacentral:rRNA from 1 species